rfam:Rhizobium freirei PRF 81 Cont730, whole genome shotgun sequence.
GUCCACGAAGCGGCGGACCAAAGCCAGAAGCCUAUAAGGCCCAUGGCGACAGUUGGGCAGAGGCGGGAAACGAGGCCCGCCAAGCCGGCUGU